GUUUCUCUUGCUAUGUUUUUAGGCUCACAGCUUUUUUUCUGUGGGUUUUAACCUGCUGUUAAUGUCAUUCAGUUUAAUUUUUAAGGUAUCAAACAUAUUUUUUCAUUUCUAGAAGUUUAGUUUGUAUCUUUCUAAUAUCUUCCAUAGCUCUAUUUAACUUUGAAAAUAUAUGAUAUACAACAGUGGCUGUUUAAUAUUCUCGUCAACUCUUUUUUUAAAUUUUAUUUUAAAGAGGAUAAAACCAAGAAAAAUAAAACAUAAUAAGGCCAAUCAAAACAAAACAAUGAAAGUGAUGCAAGACUUCAAAACAAGAUAAUAGGAAAUCAACAAUGACUACCAUCUUAUUAUCUUCAAAUAGCUGCUGAUACCAUCAGACAUAAUCAAAUCAAAUCAAACAAAACAAAACAGAAUAAAACCAAACCAAACAAAACAAAACAAUGAAAAUGAUACAGGAUUUCAAAAUAAGAUAAUAGGAAAUUAACAAUGACUACCAUAAUGCCUCUUGUUAUCUUCAAAGUAGUUGUCCAGACCCUCAGACAUAGGCAUGUAAAAUUAACCAGACUAUACAAGAACUAAGUUGUUGCUUUAAUUCAAUUCUCAUUUUUUCAGAAAUUUCAGGUGUGAGGCUUCUAAUUUCUACUAUGUCUGUGUCUGCUGAACUUGUUGUGUGUGGACCGGAGAUCUGAGAUUGUAUUUUACUUCUGCAUCUUGACUAUCCUUGUCAGUUUUAACAUCUGCUUCAGAUUUAGUUGGUUUCAGUUCAUUGAUAUUUUUACCAGUCAUAUUUUUCUGUUUCUUUGUUUUCCUAAGAAUUUCUUUGUUGUAAAUUAGACUCUGUGGACAUUUCCUUAUUUGGCAUUAGAUUUUAAAAAUUAUUAUUAUAAAAAUUCCUCAGCUUUGUUUUGGGAUGCAGUUAAAUUGCUCUGGGACUGAUUGUUUCAGGCUAAACUUCUUGAAAUUUGUAAGGCAAGACCAAAUCAGUAAUUAGUCUAGAGAUAAUAUUGUCCCACUAUUGAUCACUUUAUCCAAUGACCCAUGAAUUACCAGGUUUUCUACUGGGCUACUGGGAAUGGGCAGUUACCACUGCCCAGUAACUAUUCCUAGUCAUACGUGAGAAUUUGAUUCCAUUCAGCCUAAUAUUUUAGGAGUAUCCUUCCUUGGUUGGGGGCCGUUUUCUCAUCUGUACACGCUGAUCAAUAGUCCCAUGAAUACUUGAGACAAACCCUUUACAGAUCUGCAUGAGUACUCAAAAAAGAGCACCUCCUAAAGAUGCUGGUUAAAAACUUUAAAUCUGGCUGGGAUUAGGCAGUUAUGUUUAUUAUAUUUCACACAUAUGGCCUGUCACUACCAAUAAUCAGGAUAGGAUGGGGAUAGAUUGGCAGUUCCUGCAAAAUGCUUUGAAUGGACAAUAAGGUGUAUCAGCGGCCGUUUUGUGCUAGGGGAGAUUAUUAUUUAGGGAGGCAGUUUUCCUUUUCUUAUAUUUUAUUUGAUAUUAUUAUUAUUGUUAUUUUAGGUCUAGGGAUCAAACUCACGACCUUGCACUUGCCAGGCAGGUACUUAUAUUGCUGAACUAAAUUCCUGGCCCUUUGAUUAUAUUAAUUUAACUAACUUUUCUAGAAUGAAUAUAUUUUAUUUAUGCAUUAGAAAUAUUUUUAAAGUAGUCCGAAGACACCCACCAAGCAUCAUUAUUUGCACCACUCAUUCCAUUUUCUGGCUGCCUGCCUCUGAGUAACGGGGAGACACAGCCAGAGGUGUAGGCAUUGGGGCUUUCAAAGGCUUGUAUUUUAGUGUACAUGUAGGUCUUUCCUUACAGCACGACCAUGUGUGUCUCCUGCUGAGGUGCAGCUGUACCAUGUGUGUCUUUUCCUCUCUGGAUCACUGUGAAGAGCCUGGCCCCAGUCCUUUGGAACAAGGCGUUCUGGAUCAAUCUUAUUUCUUGUGCCUCAAUUCAUAUCCAGAUUUUCUUUUCAGAAUCCCACAGACUGAGCCCUUUACAGAUUUUUCUUCCUGUUAUUUGUACUGUGUGUUUCUACUUUAUGCUGUGUUUUCUCCAUAUUUGUGCCACUUAAAUUAGUCCUGUUUGAACUCCUCCUCUACUUGCUUUCUUAUCUUUUUGGUGGUGAAGGUGCCACUUACUUCUUCAACUGCCUUGGGCUCUAUUACUCCCCCAAUGUCACUUCUGUUGUGACUGGAGUCUGUUAUUGUCUUUACAUUGUUAAAAUUUUUUUUCCCCUUUUCUUCAGUGAGACGGUCUUGCCCUUGUUUCCCGUUCUUGCUGAUACUAAGCAACAGAAAAAACCUGAGACAGGGCUACCUGGUCCUCCUCUCCACGCCACCUUCUGCCAGCAUCGCUCCUGCAUUCCCAGGUGCUUUACUUAGUCUCUCUUUGCAUUUGUCACAUCCAAUCUGUGAUCCAGUUUCCAUGUUUUCACUUAUAUGUUAGAUUUGCUAGGACAGAGCUUAUGUUUCCCUGUGUUCAAUAAUAAGCUGUUGAAUAAAAUGAUGGACAGAAGAACGAAUGAUUUGUUGGUUAUUACCACCACAAACCAAAUUGUUGAUUCUUCACUUUUAUAUUAGCUCCUUGCAGCUGAUCCAACUGGUUCGGCAUGUUUGUUAUGAAUAUUUUUAUGUAGUUUGUCUUACCUCAUGCUCCAUACAGUUUUUGCUAUAUUUUAUCUGAUUAUAUUAAUUUACUAAUCUUACUAGAAUGAAUACAUUUACUUAGGCAUUAUAGAGAGUUUAAAAAUAAUCAGAAUAAAAUGAUAUCCACCAAACAUUACUAUUCCACUCAUUCCAUUUUCUGGCUGCCCGCAUCUGAGUUAUGGGAACACAUGGCCAUGCUCAUUAACAGGAAGCAUUGCUGCAUCUGGGGUUUCUAUCUACAUUUUUAUUACCAUGUGUUUUGAUGCAUUUCAUUAAAUAUUUUGGAAAUGGGGGACUUUUGCAUAGAAAAGAAUUUUUAUUUAUAGGUGUUGGAAUAGUAAAAUAUUUAAUUAGCUGGGUGUACUAGGUCACACCUAUAAUCCCAGUAUUUAGGAGGCUGAGCCAGGAGGAUUGCUGCAAGUUUGAAGCUAACCUGGGCUACAUAUUGAUGGCCUAUCUCAAAAAAGUUGGGGGGGAGCAGGUAUCUUGGGCUAGGGGUAGCGCAGAGCAAAGGUACAAAUUUGGGGGUUUAAUUCUCAGUACUGAAAACAAAUAUUUAGCAAAUUGAAAAUUUGAAGCUUUAAUUAUCUUAAGACUUUAAACUCAUUUUAUAAUUCUGAUUUUACUUAUAAAACAAAUUAUUUUAUAUAUGUCCUAAAAAUUCUUUCACUCAUUUUAUUAGUUCAAUUCUGGCAGAUUAAAAUCUGCUAGUUAUGGGAAUAAUCCAUUAAUUAAAUUCCUCUAAACUUUUAAAAACAUUUAUAAUUUAUUAAACAACUCAGAUGCCUGACAAGCAUCAAAAUCAAAAGAUUUGUAAGUCUAAAAAUUCAUCCCUAAAAGUGAAGUGGAUCAUAACAUUCAAAUUCCUUCUAUAAAUCUGAUUAAAUCAUCAAAACUUUGCAACAUAAACUGAAGACAGUAAAAUUGAUUAUAAAUUUGAAAUUGAAAUCAUGAGGUUAAACGUCACAUUGUUAGUUUUUCUUAAACUUUACAAAAAUUUUCAAUGCACAAAUUAUAUCUUGUGUUUCUAUAUGUAAUUCUAUUAAAUACUAUCAAUGCUACUAAGUAGUAUUAAUACCGUGGAUCUGAUUUAUAUUUGUGAUCUGAUUUACAGAUGUGAUCUUUAUGCUUAAUUUUAAGUCUUCCUGUCAUUGUAAAAUCACUCCCCAGUGGAAGGAAAGAGUUUCAACCCCCAGAUAUGGAUAAUAGUCCUUUCCUGUCUAGAAAGACGGUGACACAGUCUGAACUUCUGGGAUGAUUCCAGCCAAACCACAGACACUGAGUAGAGUUCUAUUUGCUGGCUGUGUUACACACUUGUCCUUUUGUUGGGACUUAUUUGUUGGGACUGGUAAACUGCCCAUUGAUCAUUAUAACUCCAGUACACCUUUCCCUGAAGCUAUUGGAACAUUUUAAAACACUUUUGAUGGACAGAAUCAUGUACUGCAUUUAGGCUGCCACACAGUGCCCUUAUCGCUUUAGAUUCUUCAUUUCUUUCACAGCUUUUAUAGUUGAUGGUGAGGUUAUAAAUUUAAAAAUUCAAUGAACUUAAAGCAGAAGUAGAAAAGAAAGUAAACUAUCUGCUCAAAUCAUUGGAAGUUUACAGCAAUUCACAGAUUCAGAGACAGCUGAAUCAAGAAAUUAAUACAAUCAAAUAGCAUUAGCAGGAAUCCAUCUCCACUCCCAUACCUCUGCCUCUGUUUCCCACUGUUUCCUCUGUCUCUAGGCUUUGGGUUAAUUCUUACUUUUAUUUCACAGGGUAGCAACAAAGCUCCAGGAAGCUCCAGAGUUUUAUGGUACUGACAGCUGGUAUGCUUGGAUUGUAUCUCUUCAUCUGGAUCACUCAACUGAUUCAUCACUGUUUAUUAUGAAUAUUUUUGUGUAUUUGCCUUACUCAUGCUCCAUGCAGUACACAUACUUCUUACUCCCUGCAGGGACUUCUGAUGCAUCUGGGGCUUCUGUAUCUAUAUGAUUUUUCUUACAAUGUGUGGUGAUGAGAAUAUUUUGAAAGUGAAGGGUACAAGUCCAUAUGCAUCCUGACCAGUAAAUUAGGUGUUCUGCUUGAACACUCCAGGUCACAAAUCAACCCUUGUAGAGGUGGAUGCAAGAUUCUUUGAUGAUAGACUCAAGAAAAUUUUGAAAGUUGUGGAGGGGCGGUUCUCUGCAAUAAGGGAUGCCAGACAGAUAAAUAAGUGGCAGAUGCCCUCUACAGUGUGGAAUAAAUUCAGAUAAUUUUAUGAGAUUCAUGUAUAGUGAGUCUUUUGCUGAGCCUGCUGCCAGCCAUAAACCUUGUCUGUCCCAAAUGGAAAAGCAUUUGGCAGCUGAUUGAAUUCGGUCUCGUCUUCUUUGGCACAGCACUAGCUCAUUUUUGUUUUGUUCAGUUCCAAAUCUGUCUUCUGCUUUUCCUGGAACCGCUAAUACAUUAUAGUCUUUAUCCAAGUCACACAAGGUCUCCUAUAUUUGCUUUUAAUGUGGGAUCCUCAUCAAGUUUUCCCAGAAUUCUUUCCUUUUUCCUAUAGAUACAUAUUCUGUUUCCCAGAUAAGCCAAAUUCUUAGGGAUCUGAGUUACUGAAAAGAUGUUCCUUUAGGCGUAUCUCAGUUUAUGCAAUAAAUGAGUUCCAAUUCAUUAUUUACAGUCAGUCACUUUUGAAAUGAAUCCUUAAAAGAUUUCCCAUCAAAAGAUCUUGUGGUUUUUUUUUUUUUUUUUUUUUUUUUUUGUCUUUUCCCUUUUUAUCGGUGAUCGAACUCACGACUGCCUGCUUGCAAGGCAGGCACUUAUGCCGCUGAGCUAAAUCCCCAGCCCCGAUCUUGUGUGUUUUUAAAAAAUAAUUAAUUUAUUUUGAUCAGAAAAUACAGAGCUGUCUCUGGUUCCUGAGCUUCCAGAGUGAUGAUGAAGACAAUAGACAUAUAUUAAGUUGGUACUGGUAUUGUGCUAGGGAUCUGUGUGUAGUAUAUUUUAACUGACAGUGUGGUGAGAGUCAUAUGCAAAUUCUAUUGUUAUAUAAAAUGAAAUAGGCUCAAAAGGUGACUGACCCAAUGUCAUGCACCCAGUAAGUGGACUAAAAUUUGAAACGAGGUCAUCCCAAUCCUGUUCUUUAUACUGGGAUUAGAACCAUGGAACCAUCACCUUCAUUUUCAUUUUCUUAUUUCUCCUCCCUUGUUUGACCAAUUUUUGUUUUCCUUUCCAGCCUGUUGCAAUCUUUUAUUCUUCUCCCUUAUCUCUUACUGGAAUCUCAUUUGCCUUUCCCACAUCAGCCUUUGGUUGAUGAGAUAGUUGUGGUAUCAGCUUAUUGAACUGUCUAAAUUCAUACUUCCACAGUGAGAGACAUUUGAUUCCUUUAAAAACCCUCGUAAGGAAAGGUAGGGGGUCUUUUCUCAUUUCACAUAUUAGAAAGUUAUACACAGAAAAUAAACAAGUAAGAAGACAUCUGGGGUCAGCUCUCUGUAUGAGAAAGAGGUGCUCAAGGCAUUGAAUAGGUCGUAUCCAAGCAGACGUUUGAAACCCAGAAAAGCAAGUAACAGGCCUGGUUCACUUAGACUACAUACCUAAGUCCUUUUGGUGGCCGGAUCCCCUUUCCUCUGUGUCCUCUUUAUAUUCUCUGGCAUGACUGUGGUGCCCAGGCUGCUCUUCCUACAGGCAAGCUUUCUCUGCCCAGGUUUUGCUCUUGCUGUUGCCUCUGCCUGAAGUCUCUCCCAAGAAUCCAGCCUGUCUUGUUCUUUAGGUCAUUCAUCAAAUGUACUCAUCAAAUUGUACUGAGACCUUUCUUAGAUACUGUAUUAAUUCUCAGUCCUACUUCUUCUGCAGUUCCAUUUUCCCUUUUGUAUUUUGCUUUUCUCCAAAAUAACUUAACACUUACUAAAUGAAUACUAUUACUUUUAAUUUUCCACUACAAUUAUGCUUCUCUAGGACAUGACUUUUACCUGAUUUUUUCACUGGUACACAGUCAAUGCUCAGUAAAUGUUCAUGGAAUGGAUGAGUGAGUAAGUAAAGACAUUUCUUCAUUCAUUUAUUCCAGAGACACUAGUCACAUGGAGGAUAAGCCAGGCCCUACCUCGUGUAUGAACCUCAGGAGGGAGGACAAUAAAAGCCCAUUGCCAAGUAGGAAAAUAAAUGUGCAGUCAGGUAUACAGUGUAAAGACUAGCAUAAAAUAGCUGUCCUGAUGGCUAUGCCAUUGGAAAAACCUAGUUUGAGACAUGGAAAGAUCUGUAAGCCAGGGUUGGUCAGGAAAACAAAGGUAAAAAAUUCUAGAGACAGAAGCCCUUCCCCCACUCCAGCUUCAGGUAUUGUUCAGGGACUCAGAAGGCAGCCUACAAGGUAGUUAAGGACCAAGCAGUAUGCCAGCUCUCAAUUUGUAUGCAACUUAUUUGCAUAUUUUGGAGUACAUUCUAUUAAUAUUCUGACACUAAUAUUGGAACACAAUCAUUUAAACUGCCUGCCAGUGCUUUAUGUCUAAUGCAGGAGCUCAGUCCAGGAGAAAAUUAGGUAACCAAAGGGAGUAACAUUACUCUCCCCUGAUUUUUAACAAUGUGCCACCUGACAUGGAAUGCUUUUCAGUCCAUUUGUUUGUUUGUUUGAAAUUCAAAUAAAAUCAUGGCUAGAAAAUGUCAAUUUAAAACCUCAGGAAAAGUCUUAAAUAAAGGAAAGGACUGUCACCAUCAAUGUCAAAUUAGAAAAUAAGUCAUUUUGGAAUGACUUUUAAAACUCAUACUGUCUCUAGUAGCAUUAUACAUUGCAUUAUGUGAAAGCACAGUCUGUACAAUGCACAAUAAUGCCACCGAGAUUAAAGGAGAAGAUAAUCCUGGAAACAGGUGACACUGACUUGCACGCUAAAGCUCCUGCAUGGGAAAGUCAAGGGUGUGGGCAAAGCUGUAGGCUGAAGGUCAGCAAGGCUCAGUUCUGUACUGCAAGUCCAUUUAGGGUAUAAGCUGUGGAAAGGCUGUAAAUUUUUGGUAACUUCAGAUUAAUUUUAUUGCAAUCUAGAAAAAUAAUCCAACCUUCACUUUAUUUGGAAAUUGACUACUUCUUCUAAAUGCAUUCUAUUUAGAACAUUUAUAUUAAUUCUAACUUUAAAAUCACAACUUUUCAGAUAAAUUAACCAAUAGAUUAUAAGGCUUAGAGUCUAUGAGUAGCCUUUGUGUUGCAGUUACAAAUCUUCAUCAUGUAGAAUGUUAGCAAAUUAUAGCUCCAUGUUUCAAAUCCAACUACCACCUGCUUUUCUGCAAAUAAACUUUUAUUGAAACACUACCCAACCGUUCAUUGCUGCAUUGUCUGUUGUCUGGGGCUCCUUUCAUUACAUAGCAGAGUUGAAAUAGAGGUAGUUAUCCUACCAAGCUUAAGAUAUUUGCUGUCUGGCCCUUUACAAAAAACAAAAAAUAAACAAACAAAAAAAGCAAAACAAAACAAACUAAAAACAAGCUUGCCAACUCUCAAUCUAGGAGAAGGAAAUUUCUAUUAUAAAGUCUACAGGUGAGUUUACUCUUAAGUCAGCCCAUUCUCCUAGGAUACCUUGAUAAUACUGUCACAAUGAAUUGCUCAAAAGUAGCAACAUGGUUUUGCUAUCGUAUAUCAUUUUGAUUGUGAGUUUUUACCCCAUUGGGUUAACAAAAAUAUUGUUCUGUAAAAUAGAAUUAGGAAACACUUUAGAUAACACGGUGUGAGAGCCAGUGGUGGGAUUUGCACACAGUGAGACCUGGGAAGGCCAAGAGGCUAAUCAAAUGAGGGAGGGGUCGAAACUGAGUUUAUCUCCUCGGUACAUAUAUUUCACAGCUGUACUGCUGAGACAGAUGGCUUGGAAUGCCACGGGAAGGCUACGCCAAACAAAAAUGAGAGCAUGAGGAAAGUUUCCUAGAGAAAAAUAUUUUUCCUUACAAAUUUGAAAUAUUUUCCCUUCUAUGUUAUAUUCUCUUUUUCUCCUUUUGAAAUAGCAAAGCUUCAUUCUUUGCCAAAAGUUUGUUCUUCCUUUCAAUUUCUGCCCAAAGGAAAAUAAAUUUCUUCACCUGAUUCACGUGGAUCAUUUGAUAAGCAUAUUGAGCUUGUCAAAAGAAGUUGAAAUAGAUUUUUUUAGCAGAUGAAAAUAGUAAAAUUGCCAAAUUCAAAUUAAUUUUUUCAUUAAUUAAAGGCAGGGACAUAAAUGAGCAGAACAGUUUUAAAGCAACAGAAAUGUUCUUGGCCUGUGAACUGUAGUACAUUUUUUGUCGUCAUGAUAGGAAUUGAGAUCCAGUUAGUAGUUUUGUGAUCUAGAAAAACCAGGUCUACUUUUUAGGGAGUGGGGAAGGUUGUGUCAAUCAGCAGAAUUUUCAAAUAAGGAAAGUAAUCCUGGUCUGAAGGGACUAAACUGAGUUAUCUAGUCCAUCUAAGUGUGUAUGUGUGUCUGACAGAGAGAGAGAGAGAGAGAGAGAGAGAGAGAGAGAGAGAGAGACAGACAGACAGACAGUUACAGAGAGACAGAGACAGAGAUAGGAAGAGAGAGAGACAGACAGAGACAGGAAGAGACAGAGAGACAGACAGUGACAGAGAGACAAAGAGAAAGAGAGAGACAGAGACAGAGACAAAGACAGAGAGACAGAGAGAAUGAAUGAGGAGGGGUUGUCCUUGAAAUUUAUGCUCUAUGAUUGCCAAAAUCUCACCUGAGAAUUUCACGGAGGCCUGAGAUAGAGAAGGAAGCGAAAGUAAAAUUAACUAUUUCUGCUACCAUUUAAAACUCACCCUAAGAAAAAAGCCUUGCAGGGUAAAGAAUUCAAACUAAAUGAGGCUCCUGGUUUUCUGUGGGCUUCAGUGAUUCAAAUCAGCUCCAGAGCUACCAUGCAGCAGUGACUACUUCAGGUUGGCAAAAGGUAAAACCCUGCUGUCCACAUGGAACCUGGUCAUUAGCAAGGCUCUCUUUAAAGCGCUAGAGCCACUUUCAUUUCUUAAAAAUAUUCCCAGCAUGUUAAAAAGUGAAGAAAUACUGAGAGUUACAAAUAUUUUGGUGCAUUUUAAAAUGGACUAUGUUUGAAAAUUGGUAAUUUUAACAUACACAUUCAAAUGGGGACAGUGUAAUUACUUUGCUUUUCAAAUGAUUCACAACAUAGAUAGAUAGAUGAGAACAUGAUGUUGGGUGUGCUGCAGGCAGUGGUACCCAAACUUAAGGUGGUAGGAAGGAUGAAUCUCAGCCCUAUGAGUGAAUGUUGAUGGGCAUAUAAUCUCAUUUGGAAAUGGUGCUGAACAUUGAUAUCUGAGGCACUGUCUAAGCCAGAAGGCUGACCUGUGAGACUCCCAUGCCUUCUUUCCCCCAGCUUUCUGUCCAUCCUUACUGAGACUGGACUAUUAGGAUGCCACUAUGACUGGGAGGAGAAGCUGGGAGGAGAAAGGUUAGAGGUGACAGCCAAGUGCAUUUUAUGCUCCUUCUUCAAAUAGUUUUUCAAGUGCUUGAUAUGUGCAGAGGUCAGAAGAUAAUGUCAUGGUUAAACUCACACGCAGAGCUUGAAUCUUGCAGUUUUUCCCUACUCGAGUCAUAGAGUUCUCUAAGCCUUCUUUUUUCAUCAAGGGUCUCAUUGAGAGGCACUGGUUGCUAUGAAGAUUUAAAAGGACUUUCCCAGUAGUUAUAAAAUUAUCAGAAGUGUUUUCUCGUCCAGUGAAUAAGCAAUACAAAAGUCUUGCCUUUAGGGAACUUAAAUUCCAUCUUCUUUACUGUAUUUUGUUUUCUAUCUUGCGCACUGCAAUCUGCUCAACCUCUAACAACUGCCUUGCAAUGUCUAAAGGUAUUUGGUAAAAUGUAGGUAAAAGUUACUCAGUGAUGAACAAGGAAAAGUUCAGCUGAAUUAAGGAAAUUCUUAAAAGUUCAUUUACUCAAGUACUCGAUGAGCAGUAAUAUAUGUAAGGCACUGUGCAGAGGUUGCCAUAUAGUAGUGAACAAAUGCAGGUAGGAAAUGUAUUGGAUUCAUAAAUUGUUUUGCAUACUGUAAUCCAAACAACUAGCACACAGAUCUAUAAUGACAGCUUACCAGUACCCCAGUCUGUACUUUCUUCCACUCCUCCCAGAGUAAAUACUAUUUCAAUUUCUAAAAUCACAGAUGACUUUCACCUGUUAUAUUUUACUCAAUUAUCUUUGUGAGAUCCAUUUUUUUUUUUUUUGUACCAGGAUCGAAACUCACAUUCUUGUACUUGCCAGGCAGGUGCUUACACCACUGAGCUACAUCCCCAGGCCAAGAUUCAUCCUUUUGUGUGUGUGUGUGUGGGGGGGGGUGUAUAGCUGUAUUUGUUCAUUUUCAUUCUGGUGUAUUUAUUUCAACAUAUGAAUAUACACUGAUUUUUAUGUCCAUUGCAUUAUUAAUAGAUAUCUGGGUUGUUUUCAGUUUGGGACUAUUAUAAAUGCUGGCAGUUAACAUUCAUACCUUUGCCAUUAAUUAACUAUAUGCCUACCUUUCUGCUGCAUACACACUUAGGAGUAGAAUUGCUGAAUGUAAAGGAUGAAUAUGUUCAGUUUUGCUGGGUAGUGUUAUGGUUGAUACAUUGUGUCAACUUGAGCAGUUUAGAAGUUUAACUAAGAGACUCAUCAGGGAGCCAGUUUACCUAGUAAACAUUCUAAUUAUAUGCAAGAGAAGGGCAAGGAGAUUUUGUGAGUGCUAUACCAGUGUUGGAAGUGAGGGUGGUGGUGGCCUAUGUACAAUAUAAAGCAAGUGAAAAUGUUUGUUCUCCCCAACUUUUUCUCUGGCUGCUUUUGCUGGCUGCUACCUUUAAGUGUUACCUCUGCGCCAUCCACCCUGCCUUGGAGCCAGGUGAUUAUGGACUGAAACCUCCACGAGCUGUAAGCCAAAUAAACCUUCCCUUCCUUCAUUUUGGGUGUUGAGUAUUUUGUCUCAGCAAUGAGAGAAAAGUAACCAAGACAGUAUCAAACAGCUUUAUAAAGCAGUUGUAAUAAUGUACUAUCUAAGCAGCAGACUAUGAAGAUUCUGGUUCCCCAUCUUGUCUUUAUUUCAAUUUUAGCCAUUUAGAGAGUACAGUAUGCUGUGGUUUCUACAGUAUGAUUUUAAUCCAUACUUCUCAAAUGACUGAUGCCUUUUCAUGUACUUAUUUUCUGUUUGAGUGUGUUCACUUAUGCAGCAUCCAUUCUAAUCCUUGCCCAUUUUUCUACUAUUUUAUAUUGAUUUGAAAGAAUGUUUUAUAUAUUUCAAAUAAGAGUGCUUUUACAGAUGAAAAUCUCUUCUAUUAGUCUAUGACUUUCAUUUAAAUGGUUUUGAAGAACUGAAGUUGUUAAUUUUAAUGUAGCCCAAUAUUUCUCCUCAUUAUUUUGGGUUAUUACUGUACUUUUUAUUUCUUAAGAAAACUUUAUCUGAGUCAUUUCUUAUGGAGGCAUCUAAAUCAAGGGUAGAAAAUUUUAUGUAUUAUGUUGCCUAGAGUACUAUGCAAUACUCCUAGAAAAGCUAAAGGUGACCCCAAGAAACCAAAAGGGAAAAGGUUUGCUUGUGCUUUCUUUGGAAAGACAUGGUGGAAUACACAAAGGUAAGUCCAGAGGUCCUUGUAAACUGCAUUUCUAUGAUCUAUUGUGAAAGAUGGGUGUCUUAGCUAUUUUUCUCUCAAUGAUGAUACAAAAUAUUUGAUACUCAAAGUUAAAGUGGGGAAAGAUUUAUUUAGCUCACAGUUUGUAGAGAUUUCAGCCCAUAAUUGGCUGGCUCCAAGACAUGGUUCUUUGACCGAGGGGCAUUUCAGAGUAGAAUCAGUUCAUGGCAAGCAGAAGAUAGCAAAAGCAAGCAAGCAAGGGACCUUAACAGUAUCUACCUGCCCCUUUUAUCUUAUCUAGACUAUUUAGAGUGGAUAGCGCUCAAACUCUUAUUCCUAGUGCCCUUGAUCCUUGCAUUGCACCAUGAAUCAGUUUUAGUGUCACGCACUCUAAAUCCUGCCACCUCUGAAAAAGCCCCACCUAUGACUGCCCAGGGGUUUGGGGAGACAUCUAAAAAUAAGACUUAAUAAUGAAAUAUCAUGUUUGGGAAAGACAGAUACAAUUCGAUGAAAUGGCAAGGUGCUCUAUGAACAGGGAAUGAAAGAUUAUAGACCAGCAAAGAGAGUCAACAAGCAUGAUCAUAACACCCCAACACUCAUUCCCCAUCUGGGAUCAAAUCUACAAACGUAGGCGUUUCCACCCAAGAUGUAGACAAAGCAAACAAACAAAAUGAAGAAACAAAAACAACUGGCUGAUAGUAUGCAGAAUUCCUACCAAACACCUAGAAAGAUUUUUUUCACCCAUGAAUAUGAUGAGACAAAAUGUUAUUCACUGGUACGAUUGCCUUCUGUUUUAUGUGGAACUGACCUGGAGAAAGGAGAUAGUCUGGAUAGACCUGAUCUAAUCACAAGAGACCUUUUCAGAGACACUUGCUGGUGGUAGACAUCAGCGUGAUUGCAAAGAUUAGAAGGGCACUGACUUGAAGGAGGAAGCUGAGUGAGAAAGAACUCAGGCAACCUUUUGGAGCUAAGAAAAGCUCCCUGCUAACAGACAUCAAAGAUACAGAGUCCUUAGUCCUACAACCACAGAGACUGACUUCUGCCAAUAAGCUGAGCCAGCCUAGAAAUGAUGUCUCCUCUUGCCUUAGAUGAGAACUUGACUUGGAUGAAGACUUGACUUUUCUCCUUGCAAUACCAUGAACGGAGAACUGAAAGGCUUCUAAGCUAUAGAACUACCAGCAAUUGAACAGAUAUUGUUAUAAGGUGCUAAAUAUGUGGUAAUUUGUUGCACAGCAGCACAAAAUAAAACAUGGGAUUUUUUUUUUGUCUUUUUCAUUUUUAUCUGUACCAGGGAUCGAACUCACGACCGCACACUUGCAAGGCAGGUGCUUAUGCCGCUGAGCUAAAUCUCCAGCCCCAACAUGGGAUAAUUUGAGUGACUGUGAAAAGCCAUAUUAUCUUAAGGCAACAAAUACGAAGGAGAUGUAUUAGAAGAAGGUUUCAAGUUAUGGGAUUGAAAGAUCCUCUAGAAUUCCCUGGAACAAAGAUAGAGGAAUAACAUCAAAACAUGAGAAAAAGAUAAAAAAAAAAGAAAAGAGUCAGUAAAAUCGUAUGACCGUCUCCAUAUGGAUGCAUGUGGGAUGAGCAUAGGAAGUGUCUGGUGUCCUUAUUGAGUUUAAUUUCACAAUUAAAUCAUAGUGUACUACAGUUUCAGAAGUACUAUAAAAGUCAAGUGGCUACUAGGUGGUAUUCACAGGUAUCACAAGCACUCAGAAAAGCCUUCAGAAUUGUCCAUGUUUCUCAACAUUUUUAGAGUAAAAAUACACUCUUUUUUUGCCUUUGCUCCCUGAAUUUAAGAGAUCUGUGUGAGAGGGCGGAUGAAAUAUUGCUGGAAUUUUAAACAAUUUUACUUAUUAAAAAAAAUCUUAAAUUCUCAAAUGUAUAGUCAAAGAAGAGUAAGUCAGCCUCUCCUUGCAUGGGUGGUACAGUGCAAGGGGAGGUGGCACUUUUUGGAGAUGUCACACAGCUGAGGAUAGACCUCAUGACACUGACUUGGAUUCACUUGUUUUUCUAUACAGGGACACCACAUUCUGAAGACAUUCUUAGCUAUGGAAAAGGAACACAAGCUGCCAUGAAAAAAAUAUCCUGAUUAUUCUAAAUUAAAUCUGAGGCCUUUCAAACAAAUGACAGAAUUCUUCAUUGCCAAGUACAUCAAUUGGCCUUUCUGUCGCUGGGACAAAGUACCUGCUAAGCACAACUUAAAGAAGAAAGGAUUUAUUUUUACUCACAGUUUCAGAAGUUUCAAUCCAUAGCCAGCUGACUCCAAGGAAAAAAACAAGGGCAGAAGGACAAGGCGAAGGAAAACUUUUCACUUCUCAGCAGCCAGAAGUGGAGAGAGAGUAGAGGAGCCAAGAAGCCCUGUCUCAAGACUCAAGACUUUUGUGAGGUGAGGUCAAAACUCUGUUGAAUAUUGCUGCCAAGUGCCAUCCAAGGGAAAA